rnacentral:rRNA from 1 species
CGAGUCGCAAGCUCGCGAGAGUAAGCUAAUCUCUUAAAGCCGUUCUCAGUUCGGACUGUAGGCUGCAACUCGCCUACACGAAGUCGGAAUCGCUAGUAAUCGCGGAUCAGCAUGCCGCGGUGAAUACGUUCCCGGGCCUUGUACACACCGCCCGUCACACCAUGGGAGUUUGUAACGCCCAAAGUCGGUGGCCUAACCUUUAUGGAGGGAGCCGCCUAAGGCGGGACAGAUGACUGGGGUGAAGUCGUAACAAGGUAUC